AGCUCUUACCAUAGAGUCCUCAACAUAUUCCRAAUAAUCUGUAGAAGGACACAAGGAAGGUGGCUCACAAAGUGGAUACAGAUGCAACCUACCACCUAUCACAUAUUAUUGUCUUGCAUGUUAUGGGCCUAAUCCUGCUAAUGUACAGAUUUACUCCUGAAGGAUAUGUUAUUCUGAUAGCUCAUGGACCUCUGAAGAAGUACCUGCACCAUACCAAAUCUGUGAAGGACUAAGACAUCUGCAUGACAAGCUAAUCUCACUGUUGUGGAAAAUGAUUCAAGAUGUUAGUUAAGAGCACUCGUAUCUCAGCACUCAGCUUGUUCCCCUCUACCAUAGCUUAGUAAUAAUGAAUUUCAAAAAUAGAAAUUGGGAGUUCUUUUUGCUUUCAACACAGUUUUUUAACACGGGAGCUUCACAUUUUCAUGUUUUUUUUUUCCUGCAGCUUUGAAGAGGCUKGAAACAGAUUGCUUAGAAAAAAUACAAAAGAAUCCCAUGCUUCCCCACUACCUCAAGAGUGGAGACUGCUACCUAAUCUGCUGAGUCCAAACCAUCAGCUAGUAUGAUAUGUGAGAAAAUUAUGGAAAGUGCCUCUGCUGGUGGAUCUCACAAAAGGCAAACAACCCUGUUUAUCUCAAAGAACAUGGAAAGAUAAGAAAACAAGACAGCUGAAGUGAUUUCAUUUCAAGAUUUUGUCAUGGAAGCAGAGUCUUCCGGAACACGUUUGUGCUGCUUCCCAGAGUCUUGCUGGGGUCCUACCAAGGGAACUGGCUUUUCAAGUCAGAAAAGGUGUACAGCAAAUCCCCUUGAGCUUCCAUAAAGU
rnacentral:lncRNA from 1 species